UGAGGAAGCUGGACCCUCAAUAGCGCUGGUUACCUCCUGGGUCCUGGUCUGCACACACUGGACAAGAAUGUUCCCAAGGAAGAAGGCAUCCUGGACUGAGAGAGUUAGCCAUACCUCAUUUCUCCUUCCUUUCCAGCUCAUUCUCCCCCACCCCCAUCCCAGUGAAGGACUUUCAACACCCUUUGCUAAGGAUCCAUGUCCCGUGGCUCACAUCUGCCUGAAAC